rnacentral:rRNA from 13 species
AAUUCGGCAAAAUACCUCCGUAACUUCGGGAGAAGGAGGGCCGGUUGUCUUGAGGCUCCUUGCGGGCUAGGGACGGCCGGUCGCAGAGACCAGGCCCAAGCGACUGUUUACUAAAAACACAGGUCCGUGCGAAGUCGCAAGACGAUGUAUACGGACUGACGCCUGCCCGGUGCUGGAACGUUAAGAGGACCUGUUAGCUCUUCGGGGCGAAGCGGAGAAUUUAAGCGCCAGUAAACGGCGGUGGUAACUAUAACCAUCCUAAGGUAGCGAAAUUCCUUGUCGGGUAAGUUCCGACCUGCACGAAUGGCGUAACGACUUCCCCGCUGUCUCCAGCAUAGACUCAGUGAAAUUGAAUUCCCCGUGAAGAUGCGGGGUUCCUGCGGUCAGACGGAAAGACCCCGUGCACCUUUACUACAGCUUCACACUGGUAUUCGUAAUGACAUGUGUAGGAUAGGUGGUAGACGUUGAAGCAUUUGCGCCAGCAGAUGUGGAGUCAUCCUUGAAAUACCACCCUUGUCCUUAUGGAUAUCUAACCGCGGCGCAACAACGUCCGGGACCGUGUGUGGCGGGUAGUUUGACUGGGGCGGUCGCCUCCUAAAGAGUAACGGAGGCGUGCAAAGGUAAACUUAAGUUGAACUAGUACAACUUUAAAGCAUAAUAGUAUAUGUUUGCCUGAUUGUAAGAUUGACAAAUCGAGCAAGGACGAAAGUCGGUUAUAGUGAUCCGGUAAUUCUGUGUGGAAAAGGUUACCGCUCAACGAAUAAAAGGUACGCCGGGGAUAACAGGCUAAUCACUCUCCAGAGACCCUAUCGACGGAGUGGUUUGGCACCUCGAUGUUGGAUCAUCGCAUCCUGGAGCUGUAGGCGGUUCCAAGGGUUUGACUGUUCGUCAAUGAAGGCGGUACGUGAUCUGAGUUCAGAACGUUGUGAAACAGUUUGGUCCCUAUCUACCGUAAGAGUAAAAAACUGAGAGGAGUAGAGUAUAGUACGAGAGGACCCAUGAAGAUAAAUCCCUGGUGAAUCGAUUGUUAGACCAAUAGCAUAGUCGAUUAGCUACAUUUAAAAUAAAUAAUCACUGAAAGCAUCUAAGUGAGAAAUUAACCUCAAUACAAGUUUUUUCUAAAAUGUAGAAGAUUACUACAUUGAUAGGCCUGAUGUUUAAGAGUUGUAAGACUUUCAGCUGACAGGUACUAAAAAG